rnacentral:rRNA from 1 species
GAUGAACGCUGGCGGCGUGCCUAAUACAUGCAAGUCGAGCGAACAGACGAGGAGCUUGCUCCUCUGACGUUAGCGGCGGACGGGUGAGUAACACGUGGAUAACCUACCUAUAAGACUGGGAUAACUUCGGGAAACCGGAGCUAAUACCGGAUAAUAUAUUGAACCGCAUGGUUCAAUAGUGAAAGACGGUUUUGCUGUCACUUAUAGAUGGAUCCGCGCCGCAUUAGCUAGUUGGUAAGGUAACGGCUUACCAAGGCAACGAUGCGUAGCCGACCUGAGAGGGUGAUCGGCCACACUGAAACUGAGCCCCGGUCCGGACUCCUACGGGAGGCAGCAGUAGGGAAUCUUCCGCAAUGGGCGAAAGCCUGACGGAGCAACGCCGCGUGAGUGAUGAGGUCUUCGGAUCGUAAAACUCUGUUAUUAGGGAAGAACAAAUGUGUAAGUAACUAUGCACGUCUUGACGGUACCUAAUCAGAAAGCCACGGCUAACUACGUG